UAAUGGAGGAAUAAACAGUUGGGGAGUAGGUUAACCGAAAACUAUCCAGAAUGGCGGUUUUUUUAACUUUCAGAUAGAUGUGUUUUGAAAACGAAGGUGCACGACUAUCUUUCUUAAUCUCGAAAUAUCCAUCCUGUACACCGCCGUCUGAAGGACCAAUCUAAUAAGUUAGUCCCAAAUCUUAGUACAGAAAUAAGUCAGGUAAGGUGCAGACCAUGGUUAAGAAAAGAUGCAUUUCACUAAAACAACCAAGGGGAAUUUGCAAAAAAACAACCAAGGGGAAUUUGAGAGUAAGCUGAUUUUAUGAUAAAUAGCUGAACUAGUUUCAAAAAAAUGU
rnacentral:rRNA from 1 species